rnacentral:rRNA from 1 species
ACCUUACCCAGACUUGACAUGCAGUAGACCGGUCCAGAAAUGGACCUUUCCUUCGGGACUGCUGCACAGGUGCUGCAUGGCUGUCGUCAGCUCGUGCCGUGAGGUGUUGGGUUAAGUCCCGCAACGAGCGCAACCCUUAUCAUUAGUUGCCAACAUUUAAGGUGGGGAACUCUAAUGAGACUGCCUGGGUUAACCAGGAGGAAGGUGAGGAUGACGUCAAGUCCGCAUGGCCCUUAUGUCUGGGGCUACACACGUGCUACAAUGGUCGGUACAGAAGGCAGCGAAACCGCGAGGUGAAGCAAAUCCCGAAAACCGGCCUCAGUUCAGAUUGUAGUCUGCAACUCGACUACAUGAAGACGGAAUUGCUAGUAAUGGCGAGUCAGCAACAUCGCCGUGAAUACGUUCCCGGGUC